CGCGCCCAACGGUCGCCGGCUGGAUGGAGGGGCGCCGGCUGACGCCAGCGGAAGACCCCAGAUGGAUUUUCACUCCUACCGGUCAAGGACUCUGUGAAGCUCCCCCACCAUUUCUUUGCCAACAGUGGAAAAAACUCAGGAGGAUUAAAGUAGAAGGCUUCAGAAUUCACUCAAGAGCAGAAGCAACCAGUACACCUGACUUCCUUCUUGGCAUUAUCUGUUAUUCCAAAAACAAAGUGUGCAGAUUAUACUGACUAUCAUAAUAGGGCAGCAGGCUGAAUCACUAUAGCAUGGUGAGAACUAUAACUCAUUUUAUUUAAAAAAUAAAGAAUGAUGUAAUUAAAUGGGAUGGAAUUAAAACUAAUAUUUAGAAAGCUAUAUUCCAGAUUAUAAAAUGUAAAAAGUCAUGGGAAUAUCAGAGCUUCCUGGUGAGAAAUAUUUCCAUUCUACUACUCUCUGGGUACAGUUUAUCCUUUUUUUCUAAAAAAAUCUCCCAGUGUUUGAUUUCCUGGCACAUGUGCCAGAGGAUUAUUAGUUUCAAUGUCUGAUUGUUCCAUUUCUAAUGGUGUGAACGGAAUGACAACAUUUUAGUUUGCCAUGCAAGUUCCUAUCAGAUAUGCUGUGAUCAGUAAAUUCCUCUGGGUUUGUUCAUCUUUAUAUCAUGCUGAAUAUAACAGACAAAGGAGGAGUACUUGGUCAUAAGAUUUGGAUAACAUUUUAAAUAUAUGAAGUAUUUUGAAAGGGUUCCACUGUAAGCCUUUGAUUUACUACUACUACUACUUUUACCUCAGGGCCACUAAACAUUACAAUAUUCAUUACAGGUGGGAUGAGUCCUAUAAUUGGAAUGUAACAAUGGAGGGGUAUAACCUAUUUCAGAGAAAAAGACCAAACAGGAGAAGGGAUGGAGUAGCAUUACGUGUCAAAAAUAUUUACACCUGCAAAGAAAUGCAAGACUUCAAUCCCGGAAGCCAGGUUGAGAGCAUCUGGAUAAGAAUUAAGGGAACACUUUAUUUAUUUAUUUCCAGCAUUUAUAUCCCACCCUUCUCACCUGGAGGGACUCAGGGCGGCUUACACAAUUGGCAACAAUUCAAUGCCGACAACAUAGUUAAAAUCAUAACAAUAUAUAACAUCCAUUAACAAUUAAAUAC